rnacentral:lncRNA from 1 species
GUUUUUAUUACUCUCUCUCUCAAUCAUCGUUCUUUUUUCCCCCAAAACCCUAGAGGCGAAUUCAUCUCCCUCCUCCAGAUCUCAAUCUCCCUCUUCCGGAUCUCAGUGAACAAUCGACGCCAAACCUCUGCAUCAUCAUCCUUCAAUUGUUCCUCGCCGAUUCAUCAUUCCCAAUGACCAGACCUAAUCAUCUCGAUUCUUUCAUCGAUCGUCAUUUUUUUCUGAUAAAGUUGAUCGUGUUUGUUUGGGGGGGGGGGGGGGGGGGUAUUCCACGGUCCUCCCAACCGCCGAGGUGAUCCCACCUCGCAGGCGACCACCCAGCAAGCCUGAGUCUGGGGGUAAAUCCACUACCGUAGGGGCAUUCGGAACGAGCAAGACUCGAACCCGCCACCUCCGAGUUAGAAUGCGAGCUGGUGGCCAUUGGGCUUACACCCAAUGGUUAAGUUGAUCGUGUUUGUUGAAUGUUUCAACGGUUGGAUUUUGUUUCAAUCGAUCUUAACAAACUGGAUUGUGGAGACGAUGAGAAGAGUAGAGAAGUUAGUAUUGUAGAAGGAAUGGAUGCUUGCUUAUUACAGUGAUUCGAGGAUUAGUGUUUCACUGUCUUCAUCACCUGCUACUAUUAGUUUCAGAUUCUUAGACCACCUCUGAAAUUAGUCGCUUGAUUCCUCAAUUAUGCUCCCUAAUUCUAAUUCUUAGAGUAUAUUUCCGAAAAUGGUAUCUUAGGGGUUUAAGGGAAAGUCCUGCAACAUCUGGCGCAUUUGUAAAUAAGUUUAUCAAUUUGGAUUAUCGAUCAUAUAUAUGGUUCUUGAAAUGGAUGUCGGAUGCUCUAAAAAUGCCCGAGCCUGAACUCAUUGAUCAUGCUGGAUUGGAUUCUGCCAUCUAUUUGCGGAUUUACUUGCCAUGGUUAAGACAAGUUAUUAGCUUUUUGGUUAUACACUUACACCCAUCUUGGUUGAUUUUAAUCUACAAUUUUAACCCGGUUUCCUAUCAGAAACCCUAAAUCGUGUUCGGGUGAACUCUCAUAGAUCGGGGAUUUGAAGGCGUCAAACUAAAAGAGAGAAAUUAGCAACUGCAAUCAACAUGUGUUUGGAUAUUUCUGCCAAAGAAUUCAGAGUUCGAUGUAGGGUUGUAGGGGCGGAGAUCGGUGGUUGGUGAAGCAUUGUGGGAGGGUGGGCCUCGGAGCUGCGUGAAGGAAUCAGAAGGGUUUCAAAGACAAAUACCCACAUGGAACAUUGCAGUUGAUCAAAAUCAUAUUAGGAAACCACGAAGAUGAACUUGAUAAUAACAAAGAGACUUGCCUGUCAUGUAGAUAGCCAUCAAAAUGAAUAAAUUUGCUCGUGAAGAGAGGUUUUUGCUCUGGGCAGUUUGUAGCAUUCAGUUACAGGUUUAUAUUUUAUACUUUUGUACACGAUUAACUAUAUUCUAUAAGCUGUUAAUGGCUUAUAUUAUAUACUUUUAUACACGAUCAACAAUAUGGCGAUGGAGAUCUUGAAAUGGGAACACAACAUAACGCGAAUUCUGGAGAAUUAGGGUUGAAUGAAUUCUUCAAGAAGGUUCAAUCCAUUGAGAAACAAUAUGAGAAGUUGAAUAAACUACUAAAAAAAUACAGGAUGCCCAUGAGGAGUCAAAGGGUGUAACCAAGGCUGCUGCUAUGAAAUCAACACAUGGAGAAAGAUGUUGACGAGGUUGGAAAAGUUGCACGGUUUAUUAAAUAAAAAAUUGAGGAACUUGACAAGGAGAAUUUGGCAAAUAGACAGAAACCCGGGUGUGGAAAAGGAACAGGAGUAGACCGAUCAAGAACCGCAACCACACUGUCAUUGAUAUCGAAGACAAGGAGAUCAAAGAACUAACUGGAUUUAGGGUUUUUGUUAUUGCUGAGAGGCGUGAGUGGAGUAGGUGGUUUGAGUGGGAAAAUCUGGUUGAAGAUAGGUUGUCAGUGGUAUGGGCGGAGAUGAUUGUGAGCCAUUUGUAGUAAAGGAGGAGGAUUUCCAGUUUCAUUCCAGGAGGUCUUCAAGCAUCAGUGGGGAAGAUAGUCGAGAAGGUUAAAAGAAUGAGCUUUCUCGGGAUAAAAGCCCGAGCAAAGGAUCAAUUGCUCAACUGGGAAGAUUGGUGCAGGUUUGACAUCUUUAGGGACAAUGGGUAGCUUGUGUUGGCAUGGGGUUUUGUUUAUUGUAAGCUUCUGUUUUUGUUUUCAGUUUGGUGUAAGUUUCCGUUUGGUGGAUGUAUGUUUGGCGCUAGCGCCUUGCUAGAAUUUGAAUAAAGUUUAUGUUGGUUGUUCAGAAAAACAUUGGGUUGAUGGAUAAAAGGGUCUGGUUUUGUAUUUUAAUUUUGUUUGAUUUGACAAUAAGGUGUUCAGUUUGUCUACUCUUAUUUU